UGGGGAAUAUUGCACAAUGGGCGCAAGCCUGAUGCAGCCAUGCCGCGUGUAUGAAGAAGGCCUUCGGGUUGUAAAGUACUUUCAGCGGGGAGGAAGGGAGUAAAGUUAAUACCUUUGCUCAUUGACGUUACCCGCAGAAGAAGCACCGGCUAACUCCGUGCCAGCAGCCGCGGUAAUACGGAGGGUGCAAGCGUUAAUCGGAAUUACUGGGCGUAAAGCGCACGCAGGCGGUUUGUUAAGUCAGAUGUGAAAUCCCCGGGCUCAACCUGGGAACUGCAUCGGAUACUGGCAAGCUUGAGUCUCGUAGAGGGGGGUAGAAUUCCAGGUGUAGCGGUGAAAUGCGUAGAGAUCUGGAGGAAUACCGGUGGCGAAGGCGGCCCCCUGGACAAAGACUGACGCUCAGGUGCGAAAGCGGGGGGAGCAAACAGG
rnacentral:rRNA from 1 species